AUGACAGCAAUAUCGAGCAUAUUAACCACGGUGGUGGAGAUCUGGAUCUUGAAGGAGAUCUGCAAAAGUUCCAGAAACAAGCGAGUUUAAUAUCCAAAAGUUCCUCUUAAUUACUCUGAUCCAAGAGCCUUGAUGCCAUUCCAUAAUGAAUACAAUGAACGGAAAAACCACAAACGUUUAGCAGCCCAACAGUCACAGAACUAACAGGGAAUGCAAAAACAAAACACAAGUAAACAAGAUACCAAUAAAGCUGACUUAUACGUGGCAUUUGGAGAAGCAAUCACAAUAUCACAUGAUCGCUGAUCCAGCUGUUAAAAAGUGAUUGCGUAUCCACAAUCCAGCUUUUUGAUUGCAGUCCAUAUCCAUGAACAUGAUCCCGCUUGAUCCAAUCUAGCAACCAAAAGUGUUAUAUUGGUGUUUGUAACAACAUAUCCCACCGUGAUCCUAACAUGCCUGAAAGCUGUAUAUAUCCCAUAUCUAAAUCAUGGUAUAACUAGGAGUAAACAAUGUCAGAAGCCAAAUCAGGAUCCUAAGUGAACACGUCCUACUUACAGCACUUACUCCUACUUACUUGAACAUUCAUCUAUAUGCAGCAAGAGUGUAUCAUGGACGGCAUUGACAUGUUCAUAUGGAAUUAUCAUGCAAGAUGACGGUCAAACAGAAUAACCAAGGAUUCGUUACUUAAAGAUGACAAAUAUAAAAAGCAACUGCCAGUCUCUCAUAUGCUUCAAUCAACUUUAAUUCGUAUAUAAUAUAAAUAAGAGAACAAGGGUGUGAAACUACGACACAGUUAACAGGAAAGCAAAAACAUUAACUUGGGAUACGUACCUUGCUGAUGGACGAGGCUCUGAUCCUGAACGAGA
rnacentral:lncRNA from 1 species